GAGUUUGAUCGUGGCUCAGAGUGAACGCUGGCGGUAGGCCUAACACAUGCAAGUCGAACGGCAGCACAGUAAGAGCUUGCUCUUAUGGGUGGCGAGUGGCGGACGGGUGAGGAAUACAUCGGAAUCUACUUUUUCGUGGGGAUAACGUAGGGAACUUACGCUAAUACCGCAUACGACCUACGGUGAAAGCAGGGGAUCUUCGGACCUUGCGCGAUUGAAUGAGCCGAUGUCGGAUUAGCUAGUUGGCGGGGUAAAGGCCACCAAGGCGACGAUCCGUAGCUGGUCUGAGAGGAUGAUCAGCCACACUGGAACUGAGACACGAUCCAGACUCCUACGGGAGGCAGCAGUGGGGAAUAUUGG
rnacentral:rRNA from 1 species